CUCAGGCCGCCGGCCCAGCUCGUUCACCGCCCGCCCCCCGCCGCAGGGGUCCAGCCCGCGCGGAGCCCGCCUGGCCGGGGCGGCAGGAUGCGGCGCGCCGGGGGCCCGGCCGCUAGGCGGGCGGGGCGAGACUAACCCGGCUGCUACUCUGGAACCAGUCCCGGAAUGGUUUGCCUGCCUUGCUCCUUCGUGUACGCUGAGCAGUUCUCCUUUCCUGCAGAGUAGAAGGAAAGUCCCUGCACUGGCAACCUGCAAUCUGCCAUUCUCAUGCUAGAAUUUACUCUUUGAAGGGGUGAACUUUUCAAUUGGGUAGAAAGAUGAACAUUGUAUCCUGCAGAACAUUGGGGUAGAAAAUUCCAGAAGUGAGGACGAGGUGCCUCCAGUCCCCAGCCUUUCAAACCCAGACAGCGAUCAGCAGAGUCACUCUGGCUACAUCUCUGUAAGCUUUUUACUUUUGCUGAACUGUGGAAGCUUUUUCUUUGUAGUCAAAUGUGAGAGGACUAAAUGGGAGUAAAAGGGCUGGGACGCACUAAACUUGGAUUGGUGCUGGUGCAUGUGUCUCCGUGUAAAAAGAGAACAUAUUUUCAAGUCACAAUUUAUGCAGGUGAAUUAUGGUGAAGAAAACAAAUCAGCAAGGAAGGACACUGUUUUGUUUCCCCCUCCCACUUUCCUGAACUAUGUAACAGGUCAGUAGAGUGCAUCCGAUUAUCCUUUGUUCUCCCAAAGCAUAUUGUAAAGGAUAUCCUGAAGAAGUGGAGGUGGAAUGUAUAUACGAGU